UGGGGAAUUUUCCGCAAUGGGCGAAAGCCUGACGGAGCAAUACCGCGUGAGGGAGGAAGGCUCUUGGGUUGUAAACCUCAAAACUUAGGGAAGAAAAAAAUGACGGUACCUAAUAUAAGCAUCGGCUAACUCCGUGCCAGCAGCCGCGGUAAUACGGAGGAUGCAAGCGUUAUCCGGAAUCAUUGGGCGUAAAGCGUCCGUAGGUGGCAUUUCAAGUCUGCUGUCAAAGACCGAAGCUCAACUUCGGGUAGGCGGUGGAAACUGAAAAGCUAGAGUAUAGUAGGGGUAGAGGGAAUUCCUAGUGUAGCGGUGAAAUGCGUAGAGAUUAGGAAGAACACCAGUGGCGAAGGCGCUCUACUGGGCAUAUACUGACACUGAGGGACGAAAGCUAGGGUAGCGA
rnacentral:rRNA from 1 species